UACGGAGGGUGCAAACGUUGCUCGGAAUCAUUGGGCGUAAAGCGCACGUAAACGACCUGUUAAGUCGGAUGUGAAAUCCCUCAACUCAACCAAGAAAGUGCAUUCGAAACUGGCAAGCUUGAAUAUGGAAGAGGGUCGUGGAAUUCCCGGUGUAGAGGUGAAAUUCGUAGAUAUCGGGAGGAACACCAGUGGCGAAGGCGGCGACCUGGGCCAAUAUUGACGCUGAGGUGCGAAAGCGUGGGGAGCAAACAGG
rnacentral:rRNA from 1 species